rnacentral:rRNA from 1 species
GAUCCUGGCUCAGGAUGAACGCUAGCUACAGGCUUAACACAUGCAAGUCGAGGGGCAGCAUGAACUUAGCUUGCUAAGUUUGAUGGCGACCGGCGCACUGGUGAGUAACACGUAUCCAACCUUCCGUUUACUCAGGGAUAGCCUUUCGAAAGAAAGAUUAAUACCUGAUAGUAUGGUGAGAUUGCAUGAUAGCACCAUUAAAGAUUUAUUGGUAAACGAUGGGGAUGCGUUCCUAG